rnacentral:piRNA from 1 species
UGUGAGGUUUCUAUGGGGCUACAGA